UACGUAGGGUGCGAGCGUUAAUCGGAAUUACUGGGCGUAAAGCGUGCGCAGGCGGCUUCGCAAGUCAGACGUGAAAUCCCCGGGCUUAACCUGGGAAUGGCGUUUGAAACUACGGAGCUGGAGUGUGGCAGAGGGAGGUAGAAUUCCACGUGUAGCGGUGAAAUGCGUAGAUAUCAGGAGGAACACCGGUGGCGAAGGCGGGUCUCUGGGCCGAUACUGACGCUGAGGAGCGAAAGCGUGGGGAGCGAACAGG
rnacentral:rRNA from 1 species